AUGAGAGUCUUCCCAACUCUCUCACCACCACGCCCACCACCAUCUGCACCCCCACCGCGACCCUCUCCACUACCUUACCCACCAAUCAACACCAUCUUCACUUCCACCACGGCCCCUUCCACUAGUCCUGUUACUGUGACAGCCAUCGCUAUCAUGCCUGCCUCGUCCAUCUCCAACACCAUCACCAUCUCUGUCUCCACCACCUCCACCAUGGCUAUCCUCACCAUCUCUGUCAAGACCACACCCACCAUUUCUACUCCCACCACGGCAUCUUCAUCACCUCUAUCACUGUGUUCAACCAACUCAGCCGUCUCCAUCACCUCUGUCACCACUAACACCACGAUUAAUACCUUCAUUUCACAACCAUCCCCACCCAUUGUGUCCAUCACCGUCACCAUGUCCACAGUCUCUGUUACAACCAUCUCACUGUCUCUAUCGCGACCAUCUCACUGCCCCUAUCGCGACCAUCUCACUGUCUCUAUCGCGACCAUCUCACUGCCUCUAUCGCGACCAUCUCACUGCCCCUAUCGCGACCAUCUCACUGUCUCUAUCGCGACCAUCUCACUGUCUCUAUCGCGACCAUCUCACUGCCCCUGUCGCGACCAUCUCACUGUCUGUCGCGACCAUCUCACUGUCUCUGUCGCGACCAUCUCACUGCCCCUGUCGCGACCAUCUCACUGCCUCUGUCGCGACCAUCUCACUGCCUCUGUCGCGACCAUCUCACUGCCUCUGUCGCGACCAUCUCACUGCCUCUGUCGCGACCAUCUCACUGCCUCUGUCGCGACCAUCUCACUGCCUCUGUCGCGACCAUCUCACUGCCUCUGUCGCGACCAUCUCACUGCCUCUGUCGCGACCAUCUCACUGCCUCUGUCGCGACCAUCUCACUGCCUCUGUCGCGACCAUCUCACUGCCUCUGUCGCGACCAUCUCACUGCCUCUGUCGCGACCAUCUCACUGCCUCUGUCGCGACCAUCUCACUGCCUCUGUCGCGACCAUCUCACUGCCUCUGUCGCGACCAUCUCACUGCCUCUGUCGCGACCAUCUCACUGCCUCUGUCGCGACCAUCUCACUGCCUCUGUCGCGACCAUCUCACUGCCUCUGUCGCGACCAUCUCACUGCCUCUGUCGCGACCAUCUCACUGCCUCUGUCGCGACCAUCUCACUGCCUCUGUCGCGACCAUCUCACUGCCUCUGUCGCGACCAUCUCACUGCCUCUGUCGCGACCAUCUCACUGCCUCUGUCGCGACCAUCUCACUGCCUCUGUCGCGACCAUCUCACUGCCUCUGUCGCGACCAUCUCACUGCCUCUGUCGCGACCAUCUCACUGCCUCUGUCGCGACCAUCUCACUGCCUCUGUCGCGACCAUCUCACUGCCUCUGUCGCGACCAUCUCACUGCCUCUGUCGCGACCAUCUCACUGCCUCUGUCGCGACCAUCUCACUGCCUCUGUCGCGACCAUCUCACUGCCUCUGUCGCGACCAUCUCACUGCCUCUGUCGCGACCAUCUCACUGCCUCUGUCGCGACCAUCUCACUGCCUCUGUCGCGACCAUCUCACUGCCUCUGUCGCGAUCUCACUGCCUCUGUCACUGCCUCUGUCGCGACCAUCUCACUGCCUCUGUCGCGACCAUCUCACUGCCUCUGUCGCGACCAUCUCACUGCCUCUGUCGCGACCAUCUCACUGCCUCUGUCGCGACCAUCUCACUGCCUCUGUCGCGACCAUCUCACUGCCUCUGUCGCGACCAUCUCACUGUCUCUGUCGCGAGCAUCUCACUGUCUCUGUCGCGACCAUCUCACUGUCUCUGUCGCGACCAUCUCACUGUCUCUGUCGCGAGCAUCUCACUGCCUCUGUCUCGACCAUCUCACUGCCUCUGUCGCGACCAUCUCACUGCCUCUGUCGCGACCAUCUCACUGCCUCUGUCGCGACCAUCUCACUGCCUCUGUCGCGACCAUCUCACUGCCUCUGUCGCGACCAUCUCACUGCCUCUGUCGCGACCAUCUCACUGCCUCUGUCGCGACCAUCUCACUGCCUCUGUCGCGACCAUCUCACUGCCUCUGUCGCGACCAUCUCACUGCCUCUGUCGCGACCAUCUCACUGCCUCUGUCGCGACCAUCUCACUGCCUCUGUCGCGACCAUCUCACUGCCUCUGUCGCGACCAUCUCACUGCCUCUGUCGCGACCAUCUCACUGCCUCUGUCGCGACCAUCUCACUGCCUCUGUCGCGACCAUCUCACUGCCUCUGUCGCGACCAUCUCACUGCCUCUGUCGCGACCAUCUCACUGCCUCUGUAUCGCGACCAUCUCACUGCCUCUGUCGCGACCAUCUCACUGCCUCUGUAUCGCGACCAUCUCACUGUCUCUAUCGCGACCAUCUCACUGUCUCUAUCGCGACCAUCUCACUGUCCACCUCAACGUGACCAACUCCACCCCUCCAUCCCACUCUCCCUCCACCAUUCCUAUCUCUAAUGUCUGCACCCUGACCUCCAUCAGCUCUCUUUACCAGCACUAUUUCUAUUUCUGCCAUUUCUACCUCUACACUUCAAGCCAGCUCCACUCUCCCAAGUACUUUGCUUUCAGUGGUUGGCUCUUGGACUCCUUCCCCCAAGACGAGUCCACUGUUGUAGCUUCAGUUCUUACCUUCAGAGCUAAGGGCCCACAGCUGUACCUGUUGUCGAGCCCUCUACUCUUAUGUUCCAGGUGUUGGCUUGUUCCACAGGGGUAUCCCUGA
rnacentral:lncRNA from 1 species